rnacentral:rRNA from 1 species
CCUACGGGAGGCAGCAGUGGGGAAUAUUGCACAAUGGGGGAAACCCUGAUGCAGCGACGCCGCGUGAGUGAAGAAGUACUUCGUUAUGUAAAGCUCUAUCAGCAGGGAAGAAAAUGACGGUACGUGAGUAAGAAGCCCCGGCUAACUACGUGCCAGCAGCCGCGGUAAUACGUAGGGGGCAAGGGUUAUCCGGAUUUACUGGGUGUAAAGGGAGCGUAGACGGCAGUGCAAGUCUGGAGUGAAAGGCGGGGGCUCAACCCGCGGACUGCUCUGGAAACUGUACGGCUGGAGUGCAGGAGAGGUAAGUGGAAUUCCUAGUGUAGCGGUGAAAUGCGUAGAUAUUAGGAGGAACACCAGUGGCGAAGGCAGCUUACUGGACUGUAACUGACGUUGAGGCUCGAAAGCGUGGGGAGCAAACAGGAUUAGAUACCCUGGUAGUC